UAACCUGCCCAAGAGAUCGGGAUAACACCUGGAAACAGAUGCUAAUACCGGAUAACAACAGAUGAUGCCUAUCAACUGUUUAAAAGAUGGUUCUGCUAUCACUCUUGGAUGGACCUGCGGUGCAUUAGCUAGUUGGUAGGGUAACGGCCUACCAAGGCGAUGAUGCAUAGCCGAGUUGAGAGACUGAUAGGCCACAUUGGGACUGAGACACGGCCCAAACUCCUACGGGAGGCAGCAGCC
rnacentral:rRNA from 1 species